rnacentral:sRNA from 1 species
CCUACCGCAGGUCCGGGUCUCACGUAGUGAGACAACGGAGCCGCUUGCGGCGACGGCCCGAAGGGCGAGCAAAGCGAGUCAUCCUGCACGACCCACCA